GCUGUAGCUCAGUGGUAAGAGUACUUACCUAGCAUGCAUGAGGUCCUGGGUUAAAUCCCCGUAUUGCA
rnacentral:tRNA from 1 species